AAUUGUUAGAGGAGAGUGUCAGUGGCACAGACUAAAACCUUCCAUGAGUUUGUUAGCAUGGAAGAUCAUAUUCUAUUGCCAGGGAAUGUACUAUGACUAGCAGGCACCCCCAGGAACAGAGAAUGGCUCUUAGUGUUGUAACCCCUGCAGCUAAUUGUGAGCAAUCCAAACACAGCACCAACUGCAAGCUACAUCAAAUGUGCAUGUUCUGUGUGCGGGGUGCUGCAAUGCAGAAAGCCUCCCAAUCAACGUGGUGAGCUGGUAGUAGCCAGUGACCCACUACUGGCUACCUUCAGUCAAAACUUAGUGGCUUGGCAGAGUACAACUGGCACUCAGUUCUAUGAAAAUGAUGCGCUAGGAACUCUCAGUCUUGGAACUUUAUGUGUAAAUGUAUCUGAAGUGGCUCUACGCAGAGCCAGCUCCAUGCCAAACGCACCGCUUCUACAGCACCUAACAGCUGGGCCCAGGCUGCCUAAAACAGCUGGAAAUGCAACCACAGCACUGACAGUAAAGAUUAUCUGUUAAAAUAAACUGUGAAUAUUAAUAAUUUGAUGGCCUUCUUCAGAUUAAGAGCCAUUGGUGCAUGAGACUUAAAAACUUCACCAAUAAGAAUAUUCUUCUUCAGUACAAUAAUGCAUGAUCCCAUUUAGGAUUUACAUUUUUUGGCUGCUUUAUGUAGCAAGUAAAGAAAAUUGAGUUUAUAAACUCAUCUUUUUUUCUCUAGACUGUAGUUGGUAUAAGGAGUUAGUAUUUUAAUGUAUAAAAUGAUUUGGUUAUAAAUACUGCAAAAACCCAUCGUUCUGUAAUUCUACAUGAUGCUUGAUAUUUUUUACUCCAGUCAUUUUCCCUAGAGAUAAAUAGCAAGGACUUGCUUGGAGAGUUGGCAGGAGUGUACUACAGGAUGUUUUGUAGAAGACAACGUGCAGGAUCCUGAGCAACUUGCCUUUGAAGUCAGGGAGCACCCUGUAAGUAGGUAUGGUUUCAGUACUGAUGUAAAGAUGGCUUUUUUGCAUCCCUGGUGUAGUACUUAGCAAUUGUGCCCAUCACUCACAGCACAGUGGAAGUUUGCUGUAGCUUGAACAGGACUCUGAUAAGGCAGGCUAAUGAUAAUGAACAGAUGAUGUUUGUACCACACAAAUCUGCAAAUGAUUGUUGCCAGUAGGUUACCCAACUAUGAACUGUCAGCCUAUGGUGGUUCCCCCAGGUGGGAGGAAAUUGAAAUUUAUAUUGAAUAAUCAUGUUCACAUUGACAAGCAUAAUGGAAUCAGUGAUGGCUGCAGCACCAUUUCAAGACCAAUCAUAAAGACUGCAAUGAAUUUAAGAUAUUCCCUGUCCCACCUUUGAAAGUUAGCAUGUUAGGAGGAUAAAGCACUCCAGAGUCCAGUGUUAUAGGUACAGUCACACAGUGCAGCUCCUGCUGUCUGACAAAAUAAAUACCACUUUCAUAACUAUGCUGGAUUCCUCUUUUCAAGCAAAAUUAAUAGAUGUGAUGUUUCCAUAAAUGGCUUUGUGAUGACUAUAUGGAAAUAGCCAAGGGUGGUUUUAUAAAUAUUUUUAGAACUUAGGACAAGGUUUUCCCUCCCUAUUGUUCUUGACAGAAUUUGGCAGAGCUAAACCCACAUAAAACGUUACUAGAAAAUUAUCUCACGUUCCUCAGCUGAGUCGUUACUGCAUAUUAGUCUCUGUAGUAUUCAAUUACUAAUUGAUCCACAUGGUGGAAAAUGGAAUUAAAUAGAAUGCUUUUUGUUCUUUUUAGCUGAAUAUUGUAUUUCAGUGGCACCGACCGAAAUAAAUUUCCUUCUCUUAUAUCUUUCAUAGUUCUACAAAAAUAUCAUGAAAUCUCGUUGACCUCAUUUAUGGAUUUUCCCAGUGAACCAAGAAAUACUUCUAUAAUAUGCCAUAGCAAUAAAAAGCAGGACUUUUAUGGAGAAUGUUGUUUUCCUGUGGCAUCAAGUGUGAAAUCUUGAAGAAGGACAUAAGUUGCUCUCAUAUUUGCUUCAGCUGUCAGUGGAGUGUUCCUUCCUGUUCCAGUGGCUAGCAAGCACCAAACCCACAGAUCUUUCCCUUCAGCUCCAGUUACCAGAGAAGCAGCUGCACAGGAUAAUGUCCCUCUUGCCUAUCGAAUGGAAAAAAAGAGAAAAUUUGACUACUGGGAUUAGAUUAAUAAGAUGAACAAAACUUACAACUACACAAGCUUAUGCAAUGGAAAAAUGUAAUAAAAAGUCUCUUUCUAGUGUUGUUUCUACUGCAUGUUACGUUCUUCCCCAGGCUUACGUAUACCUGCAGAUCUGUAGAACAAGUUUGACCGUAUUAUUUCCAUUUCUCUUUGACUCUAUGGCUCUCAUUGUUACCUGAUGCCUUUUUUCAAUAAAUCCCACAAAACAAACCAACAGAUAUUUGGGAGGAGAUUGUCAGUCUUAUUUCUGGAUAUGAAUCAUUUAUAUGUAUGUAUGUGUGUGUAUUAUAAGCGCAUACAUACAUUUAUUUAUAUAAAUUGAGCUCACUGCUCUCCUAAAUAUCUAUGUGAAUUACUACUGUUAACAAACCUUGAAACAUUACAGAGUUCAUAAGCCAUGUUUAGUGAAUGUACAUAUAGUUCAGUCUUUUUAUUGACAGAGGAGGUGCUAUAGUUAUGCUAACAUUGCUUAGACAGAGGUAAAAAGAGGGAGGAUUUAAAUGUAAACAUAAAACUUUUGGAAAACUUUGGCUUCUGGGGGAAAAAAAGAAAAACAACUGUAUAAAAUGGUUAGAUUAUUUCCUAAAAGUCAUGCAACAGGAACAAAAACCUACCCAAAAUGUUAAAUGCUUGUUUAAAACAGGAGCAUGGAUAUCAGCUAGACUAAAAUGAGGACUUUCCACUUCAUAGAUAUGAAGUGUGUAAAUGAAUGUUAAUUCAUUGGAUUUCAUAAUGUAAAUGUGGUGACGUUUGGAACCUUUUGGAUGUUGGCGGUUUUAACUACAUGAUUGAUUAUAACGCUGUUUGAUUUCAAGGAACUGGAAUGCCUCAAACUUUUUUCACAAAAGCUGUGUGUGGCAAUGUCCCAAUCUGUAAUACCUGUCAGAUGUCCCUCAGAUAUCACUUCAUGGAUAUCUCUGAGGCACCUUUUGAACUGCAGGAGCUAUUGGUCAGCAUUCAGUCUCUGAAUGCAGACCAACGUUCUGAUAUGAAGCCUUUACUCGUGGUGAAGACUUCAAAAGAAGGCUGUGUGCACUUUGCUACUUUUUGAGGAGGUUUUGAAGAAGGCCAUGCUACAAAUCCAAUACUAGUUUCUAUUCAGACAAUAUUUACAAGAGAAUAUAAAAAUCAAAUUGAAAGCCACUGAAAUGCGUGCAAACAAUUAUGAAAAUUGUACAGGAGGAACCUGUUGGAGUGCAUCCAGAGAAAGCCACAAAUAUGAUCCAAGGAAUGGAACGCCUCCCCUGU